rnacentral:rRNA from 1 species
CCUACGGGUGGCAGCAGUGGGGAAUAUUGGGCAAUGGGCGCAAGCCUGACCCAGCAACGCCGCGUGAAGGAAGAAGGCUUUCGGGUUGUAAACUUCUUUUGUCAGGGACGAAGCAAGUGACGGUACCUGACGAAUAAGCCACGGCUAACUACGUGCCAGCAGCCGCGGCAAUACGUAGGUGGCAAGCGUUAUCCGGAUUUACUGGGUGUAAAGGGCGUGUAGGCGGGGAAGCAAGUCAGAUGUGAAAACCACGGGCUCAACCUGUGGCCUGCAUUGGAAACUGUUUUUCUUGAGUGCUGGGGAGGCAAUCGGAAUUCCGUGUGUAGCGGUGAAAUGCGUAGAUAUACGGAGGAACGCCAGUGGCGAAGGCGGAUUGCUGGACAGUAACUGACGCUGAGGCGCGAAAGCGUGGGGAGCAAACAGGAUUAGAUACCCUUGUAGUC